AGUCAGUAUUCUUUUUUUGAGCUAGCUAUACCUUGAGUUAAAGGUUCCGCUUUUCUAUAAAUAUGGCUUUGAUGUAGGUGGAAAUUGGCAAGUAGUACCUAAGCCUAAACCUAGGCCGAAGUCUAGGAAUAAGCCUAAUCCUAAGCCCUUACCUAACUUGCCUGCUUCCAUCUAUAUCAAAGCCCAAUUUCCUUACCUCAUUUCUCUCCAAUUCCAGAAAACUUGACCGGCUCAACCAUGUGACUUCUGACAAUUUUCCUCAAUCCUCCGGGCACAGGAACCCUGUAACAAUUCUCGACUUCUCGUAAAUGGAAGCACUUCUUCAAAUGCUCUGCAACACAAAAAUCCAAAAAAAUGUAUAUAAAUGACACACAAAAAUGACAAAAAACAAACGCUUUUUCUGAUGAUGGUUCUCUGUUUUUUUUUCAAGUAAAUUGUUUCGUGCGACGACGGGUUUUUGAUACAAUUAUCGGAAUUUUAUUGGUUGAGUCAAUGGGUAAAACCUACUUUUUUAAUUUUUUUUUGUUUUGGUAUUUUGUAAAAAAUUUUUCAAGCUUGUAAUUUGUAAUUCAAAUUGUAAAAGUAAUUGUAAAAAUUUGAUUUUUUCUUCUUUUUUUUCUUUUUUGUUUUAAGUUUUGAAUAAAUUUUUUAAUGCUAUU
rnacentral:sRNA from 1 species